UACGUAGGGUGCAAGCGUUGUCCGGAAUUAUUGGGCGUAAAGAGCUUGUAGGCGGUUUGUCGCGUCUGCUGUGAAAUUUCGGGGCUCAACCCCGAACUUGCAGUGGGUACGGGCAGACUAGAGUGUGGUAGGGGAGACUGGAAUUCCUGGUGUAGCGGUGAAAUGCACAGAUAUCAGGAGGAACACCGAUGGCGAAGGCAGGUCUCUGGGCCACUACUGACGCUGAGAAGCGAAAGCAUGGGGAGCGAACAGG
rnacentral:rRNA from 1 species